rnacentral:rRNA from 1 species
GUGCCAGCAGCUGCGGUAAUACGAAGGGGGCUAGCGUUGCUCGGAAUCACUGGGCGUAAAGCGCACGUAGGCGGAUCGUUAAGUCAGGGGUGAAAUCCUGGGGCUCAACCUCAGAACUGCCCUUGAUACUGGCGAUCUCGAGUUCGAGAGAGGUUGGUGGAACUCCGAGUGUAGAGGUGAAAUUCGUAGAUAUUCGGAAGACACCAGUGGCGAAGGCGGCCAACUGGCUCGAUACUGACGCUGAGGUGCGAAAGCGUGGGAGCAAACAGGAUUAGAUACCCUGGUAGUCCACGCCGUAAACGAUGGAUGCUAGGCCGUUGGGA